rnacentral:rRNA from 1 species
CUAUACAUGCAGUCGAGCGAACAGACGAGGAGCUUGCUCCUCUGACGUUAGCGGCGGACGGGUGAGUAACACGUGGAUAACCUACCUAUAAGACUGGGAUAACUUCGGGAAACCGGAGCUAAUACCGGAUAACAUGUUGAACCGCAUGGUUCAACAGUGAAAGACGGUCUUGCUGUCACUUAUAGAUGGAUCCGCGCCGCAUUAGCUAGUUGGUAAGGUAACGGCUUACCAAGGCAACGAUGCGUAGCCGACCUGAGAGGGUGAUCGGCCACACUGGAACUGAGACACGGUCCAGACUCCUACGGGAGGCAGCAGUAGGGAAUCUUCCGCAAUGGGCGAAAGCCUGACGGAGCAACGCCGCGUGAGUGAAGAAGGUCUUCGGAUCGUAAAACUCUGUUAUUAGGGAAGAACAAAUGUGUAAGUAACUAUGCACGUCUUGACGGUACCUAAUCAGAAAGCCACGGCUAACUACGUGCCAGCAGCGGCCGGUAAUAAA